CUUAGCCCCUCCGGCGCCGCUCUUUCUAGGUUGAGUCGGGUAGGGGUCUGGUCCGUCGUCCCAUUGAUCAGCCCAUGUGGUUCCAUACGACCCGAUCGGUUCCAUUUCUCAAGCUCUAUAGUUAAAUGAUGAAAGAAGGGAGAAGAUAAAAUA